UUGGUCCUACGGGAGGCAGCAGUGGGGAAUAUUGCACAAUGGGGGAAACCCUGAUGCAGCGACGCCGCGUGAGUGAAGAAGUGCCUCGGCACGUAAAGCUCUAUCAGCAGGGAAGAAAAUGACGGUACCUGACCAAGAAGCCCCGGCUAACUACGUGCCAGCAGCCGCGGUAAUACGUAGGGGGCAAGCGUUAUCCGGAUUUACCGGGUGUAAAGGGAGCGUAGACGGCGGCGCAAGUCUGGAGUGAAAUCCCGGGGCUCAACCCCGGAACUGCUUUGGAAACUGCGCGGCUCGAGUGCAGGAGG
rnacentral:rRNA from 1 species